AGAAAUAACCUUAACAUACGCACUUAUUUCAAUAUAUCAUUGUUCCAGCCAAACCCUUGCAGUCUCCAAUGCCACCUUCGCAGCACCACGCACCGAGUCUCUCUGGCGUUCCAGUUCUAAGGCUUCUGCCAACUUAUCAUAUGCAGCCUCCAUGCUGCUCUUUGACUCCAACAUUUCCUUAGAAACUUCAUCAACAUGUGUUUUGAGGACCAAUGUCUCUGCUUCACAAGAAGACAGUUGUUUCUCAAGUUGAAGAAGCAUGGCCUUGACAAGUGAUAUUUCUUCCUUAAGUGACUGAAGAUGAUUAUUGGAAGCACUGUAAGCAGUCACUGCCUCAGCAUGGAGUCGUGAAACAUUAUCAAACUGAACUUUCUCACUGUCCAAAAGCUUGAUUAGUUCAUGAGAGGAGAGGCCUUUGCACAGGGACCCUUCAAUUGUCUCAAGCCUUGACAUAUUGUGAAUAUAUUCCUUCACCUUCUCUCCAAAGGGGCCACAUUCAAUGGACAGAUUCUGUAAGGUUUUAAAAGUAGCUUCUGCCAACUUUACCAUUGCUCCACGACGGUGUGGAUUCAUAGACUCAAGAGUAUUAAGAAGAGCUUGCCCAUAUUCCUUUAAGAUAGAUUUUGCUUCGUCUUUCGUUAUACCAAAAGGCUCAUUAAGCCCUGAAGCCUCUUGAAUAACACCACCUACAAGCUGAACAUCCUGCCCAGAAGUAAGAGAUGGUGGCGUAUCAGUUUCAUCACUACCUAGUAACACAAAUGAUCCUUUAUUUUCAGACGUAUUUACAUCGUUAUCAAAGGAAGGGCAAAUAUCUGCAAAAAGAUGCAAGUGUCAGAAUCCAGGAUAAAAGGAACAAGGUAAACGAACAAAUGAAAACAGCCAGCCAUGCUUACAACAAACGAUAGGCACAACAGGAGGGAAAGCAUGACGAUCCAACCAAUCAUAGACAUGUAGAUGUAAAACCUGAUAAAUAAAAUCUACCAAAUACCAAAAAGGAAGAGAGAAAUAUUAUCUCAAUACCUUGGAAUAGUAAUGCUAAAAAAAAGUAAUUUUAAAUGCUAAAAAGAAACUAAUGUCAAUAGGCCUCACAUUCAUGCCCCCUGAAACCUAAUACCCAAAAACAAUAAGAAAAAGAAGUCCAGAGAAAGACACACCCUGAGUUAUGGUAUUCCCUGCAACAGAAAUUUGCCUGGCUAACUCUUUCAGGAAAUAAGACUUUGAUUGACGCAUACGUUGGAAAACUAGCAGUGGAACCUCUGACUCCACAUCUUCCAUGACAAGUUCCCAAUUGUGCAUUUCAUCUUGCUCUGAAGGUAUAACAAUGUUUGGCAUAUUUGAGGCAUUUUCAGCACCUACUACAAUAGGUGACUCUGGCACUAUCUUAGAACUCAAUUCUUUAUUGUCCAAUUCAUUAAUUGCACUGUUAGACCCAUUGCUUUUACCCACAUACUUUCGCAUCAUUGCAUUCACUUCAGAAUCUACCCAUUGGAAAAAACUACAAGCUCCGUGAUUCUUUUUAAUCCUGCAAGCAAAGUACCAAUUUUCUCCAUUGGGCCCUGUGGAUUCUCUGCUAAGAUUUAGACUACAAAAUCCAACACCACAAGGGCACAUAGG
rnacentral:misc_RNA from 1 species